UGAACAUUAACUUUGUAACCAGGGUUGUCAGCGAUUUUAACGUACCUGUUAUAAAAUGUAUAUUUCUCUACAUACCUUACAUUAUUUUUAUCCUGCUUCUCUCCUAUGAACUGUUGGUGGACUUCUCCUCAGGACUGAGUGGAGUAGACUAUGGCCUUAUUCUCUACAUUGUGUGUUACACGACAGAAGAAAUCAGACAAAUGAUACCGUCUGCAGGGAUUAAAUAUGCUACAUACCUUCGGAGUCAUUUUAGAUGGUGGAACCUUAAUGAUAUUUGUUGCAUUGUGUGUUUUGCGGUUGGAAUUGUCCUGAAGUCAAUUGGAAUACUUGAUAUAUCGAGAGUUGCGCUUGCAAUUGAUGUCACUUUAUUCACGCUAAGGGUGCUCGCUCUAACAGCUGUGUCAAGAAAUCUUGGACC